UUACACACAUGUGUGUGUUGAAGUCGAUCAGGGGAAAAGGCCAGGAGGAGAAAACCUUCACUUGACCUAAAUCAUCAAAUUGAAAGGCAAUUGGGGCUAGAAUUCGUGCAUGUGUGUAGAUCAUAGAUCAUCCAUACAAGAUUAACAUAAGGCAACUCGAGUGAAGCUUCGGGAAGUCAAGCCAGGGUGAACGCACGACUAAAGGAAAAGCUUUAAGGUUAUCUCUAUGAGCAAACGGAUGAGAUCAAGCUAUGGAAGAACCGAACACAAGUAAAGAUCAAGCUUCCGUGUUGUUUAGUCAUUUUGCUAAUCUAAACAUUGUAAAUCAGUAGAAAUGUCCAUUUGAAUAUUUAUGAACUUUUAAAUA